GCAUUAAAGAACAGACUGCAUUAAAGAAUACAGGCCACAAAGUCCUCAAGUUCAGAGGUUAGGAUUCAGUAGGGCUGCCAUACCUCUGGAAUUUCUUGGACAUAGUCGGUACUGUAUUCGGCCAUCGGAAACAGCGUCUGGGCAGAAAUUGCUCAAAUGUCAGGGAAAAUCCAGAUGUAUGGCAACCCUUGUCAGAAAUGUAGAUUUUGGCAAAUAUCCUUAAAAAUAGCUCAACUUUUGUGUCCAGGUUUUCACUUUUUGAAAUAUGGCAACCCUAGGGUUCAGCUAACCAAGGUCCUGUUAUUGGACUCAAGGCUCCUUUCUCAAUAAGAAUUAGAUGAAAACAAAGAACAGGGGUCAGUAACUGGACAUUUCUGGGUCAAGUCCAGCCCCCUGAAGGAUGAACAGAGGCAACCUAAAGUCAUAAAAUGUGUAAAGAAAGUGGCAUUGGUACUAACAGAACAUGCUCACAGUCCACUUUUAAGGAAUGUAAGCAUUGGCCCAACACUCCUUAUUCCCUUCCUAAAGUAGUCCUACCUAGUUGCUAACCAGGGUAGUAGAAUUAUGAGAUUUGAAAGAUCAUUGAGAAAAAUGGUCCUUUGAAUUACUGCCUCUAUGAACAUCUGAUGGGUAGUUCUCACAAUGGUUGUAGCAUUCUGGACUGCAGGGAAUGGGACACAUAAUUGAAUGGUCGUCUCUAAAAUAAUAAUAAUGCUGCACACAGAUAUGUAACUAGCAUCAAGGACCUAUAUUGGCUAGAAGAACCCAUUUCCUUGACAUCUAAUUUUCUAUGCUAUUGGAUUUAUUUAUUUUGUUGUAUGUGGCAUUAAUUCAAGGAAGCCCCAAUUUGCAAUCUUAACUGGUACAGCGCAGAUACAGAUUGACCACCUUGAUGUAAACUAGGCCUUAUAUGUCACUGCUGGCAUUUGCUAGUAUCACGGCAGCAUUCUACCGAUGGAAUGAUUUCAAUAGCAUGUGAUGCUGAGAAGCCAAUCACAUGCUGAUGAAGAUGAGAGAGCAUAGUUAGCAAGAUCAGGAGAUGUUUACGCAAACUACAAAACACGGCUCUAAUCCUGAAAUGCAUUUAGUAGGAAUAUAGCCCCACUGAUUUCAACAGAACUUCCACUCUUAACUAGACCAAAGGAACAAUUGUAACUAAAUUACCUAUGAGGAAGUAAAUAAUCCCUAGGCUAGCACAUAAUGAACGUAUUCGACACAACAAGACCCUAAUAUUAAGGACAACUAGAAUCUCUAUGAAUACCAUUAAAAUCAGCUGACUAAUGGAUGUUAUGCUGUGUUUUGUCAUUUGCCCUGAAAUCCUUUUGCAAACAUAAUAGAUUAUAAGAAACAAACUAAGAGUAUGUAUUUCAGGGUGCGUGUUAGAAACAUGUAAACAAUGUGUGGCAACGUUUUGGUUGCAUCUAACAAUGCUUUUAUCCAUCCUUCAACUGGGAAGGCUCUUUUAAUUGACUUUGGGCUGGUUAAAUUCAUUCAGACUUGAUACUGACCACUAAAGCUGUAAUGGUUUGGGGACCAGUUAACUGAAUUAGCACUUUCACCUAUACAAACUCUGAGAUUACCGUAAUUUACAAAGGCCCUCCUGGUCAGUGAGACUGAUUAGGUUGGUGGCAUGAGGGUUAGUGCCUCUUUUGUUGAGGCCCCAAUGCUUGUGGGAUGCCUUCAAAUGGGUUCCAAAGACCAAUUUGCUUUAAGUUGUUUCCUUUUGACAGAUAUUGAGUACUGAUAUUUUAAAUUGGAUUUAUCUUGGCUAGAAAUAUUUUUAAAUAUUUUAAAGGUUAUUAUGCAAGGCUGUUUAAACGGACUUUGCUGCUUUAUGGAAUUUUGAUAUGUUUCUGACUUCAGUGAUAUAUUGAGUUUUAUAAAUUAGUAGCUGCCUUAAUAGAGGGCCCUAAAGGUGGUCUGGAAAUCAAACACACACACAUAUAAGAAAUAACAGGUGCCCAAUGGCCAUUCUGAAUUAUGGGGCAUACUGUUGGAUGUGCAGCAGGUGGACACAAUGAGCAAGGUCUUCUCUGCUGUAAUACAGGGACUCUGGAGUGCACUCUUCCCAAGGAAAGACAGCUCAGCUCCAUCUUUAUUAGCUUCCAGAUGGGCAGUGAAGACAGUUUUAGUUCAACAGGCUUUCGGUUUUUAUACUGAAGUGUUUAAUCUGCUAUUGUUGGGGUUAUAUUUCAUAUUAUUGUUUUCUUAUAUUUUAUUUACGGAUGUUUCAACUAUGUUAGCCUAAAUUCAGAUUAUCUUUAGCUGGAUUAUCAAGGCUGAAAUAUUAAAACAAAACAAAACAAACUAAACAUUCACCCCACAGACCUGAACUGGCUUAAUAUUCGUUCAUAAUCCCCAAGAAACCUAGGGACAAUAGCACUGAGAGAUGGAGGAAGAUUUAUAAGGAUCUCUUAACACAGAAUUUCCAAUAACCUUACAAUCAACUGCAAUUCCCAGGAAAGAGUUUUUGUGCCUGUGAGCUAUGAGAGUUUAAUUGGUAUAAACGGAUAUAAUUUGUCAUAAAUGCAUUCCCAUGUCCGAUCUAGGUAUGAUAGCAAACAAUGGCUUGUUGUUAUGAGAGCAAGCCUGCACAAAGCUCAAGCUAGCACACCCAGUCCUCCCCUCUCUUCAUUUUCUGCAUGCACAAAAAGAAGAUAAAAACUUCCACUUUUGAACUAGUUACAGUUCCCCAUUAUUUCCAAAUUUGGGAAUCUGUGAUUUUGCCUAACUAACAGGUAGUUAAUAAACCAGGAUUUUAAAGCAUAGUUUGGUCCUGGGUUUUUUUAACUAACCACAGAACAAACCUGAUUUUCCAAGUUCAGAAUAAUGGGGAACUGGUUCAUUCACAUGACUGUCAUUGAUUCUCAGGUUGGCUGACUUCCCACACCCUCAAAUCAGUCCCAGAAGCCCCUUGGUUAUAUCUAUAAGAGAGCUAUUUUAUGGGCAUUAAAAAGAAGUUACUUUCACAUGAGAUAACUCCUUUGAUCAAUUUGGACUGUGAAAAAAUGUUACAACUGGGUACAAUGCAGACAAAAGUCUAAUAAAAUAGCCAGUGCUGACAUUGGACAAUCAUAUCUCUGCUAAAUAAGCCAAGAUGUACACAAGCAUUUUGCCUCUGUUUUUGCACUGUUGGUGUGCCACAAUAAGCCAUGAAAUUGUGACUCAACCACAAUUUCCUACUUCAUCUAAACUGGGAAACUAUGGUCACCAGGCUUGGAACAAGCCAUGAUCUUAAACCAUGGUUUGAAGGUGACUUAAGGUCCUGUCCUGUCCUGAACAUGAUAAUGAUAAUGUCUUGGUUCAAAUGAAAUGGAAAAAUACAGUUAAUAAUUGAAGGCUUCCAAGUUUAACUACAAUACUCUGAGAAUGGCGGAAGGGGUUGCAUGUGCAGACACAAGCCUCAUUCAUAUUUUGAUUUAUCUGGCUGAGAUAUGAUUGUCUGAAUGAAGUCUUGUCUCCACUGUCCUUCUCUCAAUGGACAUGCUGUUGCCUUCUUCCGUUUCCUUUUAGCUUGUCUUAUUGCUCCUCAUUUAACACAAAAGUUUCUAAAGUCUUUAUGGGUACAAAUGUAGCUUUGGCAACAGCAGACCAAGUGCUUUGAGUAAUAAGCUUAAACUACAAAAAGCAGGCUACUUAUACUGCUACAAUGAUGAGUAAGAGGAGAUUUUGAACUUCUACUAGUUAGGAGAACCAAAGUAUAGAAGGCAUAAGAGAAGAGUAUUUGUCAUUUUAUCUCUUAAAUGUGAAUGGUAGGUAGCUUCUUCAACUGGUCAAGAACUGGUAACUGUUUACUAUGGAUAGCUUGACACAGACUAUGGGUUAAGCACCCACUGUCUGAACUAAAUGAGUUUGCUCCUGUCUGGUUAGCAUAAGAGAAAUGAACUACAUGUUCUUUUAACAUAUCUUGCUCUUGAUUUUUUACAGUGGUACUGUAACUUUUGUUAGCUGCCAUGGCAUCCUGUUGGGAGAGAUAGAAAGUUGGGACAGAAAUAUUUUAAAUAAACAAAUAAACAUGUUUUAUCAAAUGUGUAGUGGUGGAAAGGGAAAGGUUUCUAAGCUCUCUGAGAGCUGAUCACUUGGCCACCACAAUGAUAUGCAGCUACUGGUGUUGAUAAGUUUAAUGACAACAAGGUAUCUAUGACCUUUAAGGUCAACAUUUAAUAGACCAGCUCUGUACUCCAUAAGGCUAAUCAGAUGCUGAUGAAGAUGUGAUGCAUUUAGCACAGGCUUUACAUGGAGUAAAUAAUGGUUAACGUAUAAAUCAGUUUGGCCAGUGCCUACCAGCUGCCAUUUCAUAACCACAAGAUAGCUUGUUUUUGUGCAACUCUGGCUAUCACACAUCAGCCAUCAAGGAUAUGAAUGUCUUUACCCUGUGAAUGCAAGGCCUGCCAACAAGAAGCAAGAGGAUCAGCAUUGAACUAUGGGAUACCAAUCACAUCAGCUACGCAUAAUAUUCGUUCCUAGAGAGCGACUUUUAAGACUGCUUAUGGAACAAGCAACAAGGUUGAGGACAGAAUCCUCCCCUAUUAAGCUCACUUUCAGACCACACACAAAAUAUUUUGGCUGCCACAGGGGUCACCCUGCCUCCAUCACUGGCUCAGUCAAGCUCCAGAACCACUUCCAAGUUGAGGAAUUCUCUUUAAAAACUGUAAGGAUACAUCUUCCAACAGUUCAUUCUUCGUUUCCUAAGCCUCUUACAAAACAUAGUUUUACAUUUUUCAAAAGUGCAUUAAUUGGAAAAACUGGAGCUGUGCAAAUUUGCAAAUCUUAACACACCUAAAAAAAUAUUCAGUCAGAUUGGUCCUAUACUUUUCAAACAAGCGGUGGUGCUUUGCUGUUUGUUUGUUUUUUCCUCUUUUACAACUGCUAAUUGCUUGGGGAACCGGUUUUUAAUGGUAGCUGAGGCACUGAAGAUUCCCAUCUUCCAGAACAUCUACAAAGGGAACAUGCCACUCUGUAUUAUACCCCACUGACAAAAUAGAAUUCUUUCACCAAAAUACAUCAGCUACAGAAAAUGCCUCUAUGUAUGGAGUUUGCAACACAUCAGAGCAUCUCUCACUUCCUGUUUUCAGCUUGGCCACCCUUCAAAACCACUGCUUUUUGCAGUCCUGCUGGGCCAACUCUCUGAACACUCACAUAAUAAAUCCCCAGCCUUGCUGCGUCCUGUCUUUUCCUCUGGGGCUUACUUAUAUGAGUUGACAGUGUGCACAACAUUCUCCUCCCUCUUGCAUUGUUUCAGAUUUAUAAACAUUUUCUUACAAACACGAGGCUUUUGAAUUCUGCUCUGUGACAGAGAGCUCUCCUUGCCGGCAUCUUACAGCCAUCAAUAAUCCCACACCCAGGGAAGGAAAAAGCCCUUUAGGAUACACCAGGCUCCUACAAUGUGUGGUGCCUCCAACCCCCUUGCGGGAUGGGAACAGGUCAGGGGAGAGGGCACUGGCUAAAUUUGGUGAUUUUUAUUGUUGCAGGGCAUUGCAAGUCCAGAAGGAAAGUAUACCUCUCUCUCUUGUUGUAGUUGUUCUUUUUUUGUGUUGUUGUUUUUUUCUUUUGUUUUUGCAUAUAACAUUAAAUAUUGUCGCUUACAGUAUCACAUGCAAAUACAUGCUGGCUUGGAAAAUGCAGAUUCUAAAUAGUUUAGCUCGGCGACACUAUUCCUUAAGCUUUUAUUUUGUCUGUCUCAGCAGCAUUGCUUUGAAAAAUAAUAUGUCCCGUACUCUGCUGCUAAAUAAUGUGUCCCCAUAUUCUGUUGCUCCAGGAGAAGCUUACAGGUGAAAUAUUUCCCCACACAUGGUCGCCAACAAAUGUUCUGAUCCUGUUGUUCUAUAUAUAUAUAUAUCUGCUGAAAAAUAGGUUUAUUUUUGUUUUCCUGCAUUUCAUUUUUGUUGUUGUUGAGUCUCUUUAUUUCUGCCCGCUCCUUUUUUUUUUUUUUGCAAUCAGAUCAAAGCGCCACUCCAUCCCAGCUUCGGAUGGAAUCAGGAAAAAAAAUCACAGUGAAAGCACUCACCUUAACAAGGAGUGCUCCAUUACCGUUUUCUUUUCUGUGUGCGGAAAACGAAAAAAGGAACAGAAGAGAAGUGGGGCGGGGAGACGUGAAGGAAGAAGGCUGGGUCUCUUAAGCUUUCUCCUUCAGACCCAGUCAAAUCCUGGAAUUUCCUGCUCCCCAACCACAUUCUGGUUUCCAUGCCUGCCCUCAGCUCCUUCAUCUGUAGGAACUUGAGUGUUCUUGGAAUAUCUACAUCAUAGGAAAGUCAUUAUCAUGCAUCAGGCAGAAGGGAGCACUUGACCUUAUUGCUUGUGAUUGAUGGAAGAUCCAUGCACAAAAGAGAACAAUUCCAAGGAAAGAUAAUAGAAGGCCAAAGGCAGAUGGGUGGGGUGGCCUUCUCCAGGGAGACGGUGGAGUGUCCAUGUGUUCAAAGAAUCAGAAUUGCUCAGUAAGUAAGGAAGAAGAGAGAGAGAAAGAGACAGAGAGAGAGAAAGACUGGGUGGAUAUCUAAAGUGUGGAUAGUUUUGACACUUGGAAAUAUGUUUUAUGGACUUGGGUAGACUGAAAACAGAUUACAGUGUUAGAGAGAGAGAGAGAGAGAAGUCCAAGGAAGUUUGUCACUAAGCUCUAUGGCUCAUUGCAGUCCUGAGUAAGAUGAUGAAAAGGGGAAGAGCACUAAAGGGAGAGAAAUAAAGCGCAAAGCCAGGGCCAGAGAAAAAUCGUGCACUCUAGUGAGGUUGAAGAGGGGGAGAAAUGCAGGCAACCCAGAGAGGAGGGCCAGAGCCCCUUUCCUGCAGUGUCCAUCUCUCAGUGACCUCCUCCUCUUCGGAGUAUUUGGAUUUUCUGAGCAAGCCAGCCCCCCGCAUUCACCCUCCCGCCGGUAAAUUAUUUAAGCCCCACUCUUGAUCCAUAGCCACGGGAACAGAAGGCUUCAGGCCUCGGGAUUCUCAUGGACACUCCAGAAAGUGCAAACUUUAGUGCAACAUCACCUGUGAGAUGCCUCCUGUGUUUUACUUGUUCCAAUGCAUUUGACCGCCUUUGUUUUCUUUUUCCUUUUUUUUUUGGCAUUACCUUAUUUUUUUUCUUUUUCUUCUCUAUAUAUUUUUUAAAAAAUAAACGAACAUACAAGCUAACCCCAAGCAUCCCUGGUGCGUCUCUAUAGGAUGGAAGGGAUGGGCGAGCGGGGACGUCGGACGGAACCAGGCGAGCCGAAAGGAGUGGGCGCCGGAGACAGGCGCAGUCCAGCAAUGCUGUUCAGGCUGUGGGACUUCUCAUAGCCUGUUGGAAGCGCUGUGGGGAAAGGAGAGAAGUGAAAGGGGUGAACGGGGGAAGAGGAACACAGGUCAAGUUAAGGCCCUGACUCUCUCACAGUAGGGACUCUGGCACUAGCAACCAUAGCAGCAUGCUAGAGGAGGGAGCUGCCCUCUGCUACACUUCAUAUGCCUGAUAUACUAGAUUCUUGGUCCUCUUAGCUCAGCACUGGCCACAUCUGGAGAUUUGUUGAUGGCUUCAUACAUUCAAUGAAGCUGUGGCUGCGCACUGUGGCCUGGUGCUUCUCCUUCAACCUUUCCUUCAUGCCCUGGGAUUUGGCAAAGAUUUUGCUUUUACCAAAAGUUCCCUGUUAGGUCUGAAGCAAGGAACUCUAGUCUUGAUGCUGAUUAACAAACCAAGAUAAUUUUGGCUGAGCAGAUCCCAGCUUGUUAAAUGACAUUAAGCCAAAUUUAUGAAGGUUUAUGGAGCCACUGGCUGAUGUUCAAACAUAGCCACUGUCUUACUCUAAUUGCCAUUAGUUCUCCAAGGUUUCAGGCCGAAGUCUUUAUCAGACUUGCCACCUGAAAAUUAAAGGAAUUGAAUCUGGGAUGUUCUGCACACAGUGCUUGUGCUCUAUCACUGAACUAUAACCCUUCCCCAGUGCUGCUGCUCUAGAUUGCUAGAGGGCAGGGUUGUAGCUAUCAGCUCAGCAAGCUUCAGAUGCCACAUGCGGACAAAAUGUCCCAGAAAGCUGUGCAAAGCUGCCAACCCUGGUUUGGGUUCCUUGGGCUGUCAGUCAGCCUGUGCCUGCCUGUGUGUCAUACCACCAUUCUUGACCAUCUCCCAAAUCAAUGUUACCUUCUACAACCAGUCUCAGGCUCGAUCUUCCAUGUUGAACUUGGAAACAUUAUCCCACAAUUAUAAUUCUAAGCCAAAGCAUUCCUUAACUGGAAGCUCUGUGGCCUCAGUCUUGAAGAGCAUGAGCUGUUAGCUGAAACUGAAUUUGCUGAGGGCCAAACGAGACGUGACCUUAAAUGGAUGCCUCUUUGCAUUUAACAUUCAGCCUUUAAAAACAAAACAAAACUCUUAGCAUCAGCUGGAGGGAGCUGAUCAUGUUUAGAACCGCAGCCGCUGUGGAGGGAGGGGGAAUCCUGCCUCUGAAACUGGGACUGUACCGCACUGUGAAGAAAUCUCCCAUUUGCCCCAGUUUCUUCUUCCUGCAAAGAGCAGCUUCAAAGGAACACUUUUUGUCAAGACCACAGCAAAGCAGGAAAAGGUUAAACUUUUCCGUAAUAAUUAGGGCUGCUGUCAAGGGUUGCCACUGUUGACUCUCAGAACCUCCUAGCCUGACUGCUCCUCCUCUCUGCUGUUGAUGCAGCCUGUUCAUCUACCUUAUAUGGGUGAGGAGAACCUCUACAUGCCUCUGCAGUAACCUCUGCAUGUUUUGCCCUUUCCCUCUGGAAAGUGCUGUGAAUUGGGCACAGAGGGAGAGGCCAGGAAAUAGGCAGUGGGAACAGUGGCAAGCAGAACAAAGUGGGCCUGUUUGGCUGAUGGGAGCACUGAGAAUGUCUUGCCCAAGGGACUGCUCCCCCCUCAAAAAAAAGCCCUCCUGAAAUUAGCAUUGCCAAUAAUAAUACUGGCUUGGCUUACAUGAUUGCCAUUUAAAGAUUGUGGUAGGUUUUUUGU